rnacentral:tRNA from 1 species
UGGGAUGUAGCCAAGCGGUAAGGCACCAGACUUUGACUCUGGCAUUCCAAGGUUCGAAUCCUUGCAUCCCAGCCA